ensembl:snRNA U4 U4 spliceosomal RNA
AUCUUCAUUUGGACUUCUAGAAUGUAGCCAAUGAGAUUGAUCUGAGGCAAAUUAUUGCUAACUGAAAACUUUCCCCAAUACCCCACUGUGACAACUUGAAAUAUAGUCAGCACUGGCAAUUUUUGACAGUCUCUACGGAGA